AGGCUGAGAGAAAGGCAGGGCUGUAGCAGAGGGAAACAGCCUGCCCUCCCGAGAGCCUGCAAGAAUGCGGCAGGGGGCCGGGGACAUGGGGAAAUACUAACUCCCCCAGGCCCUGACCCGGGCUUGAGGAAACGACCCGCGGCUGAAUUUCUCGCCAAGUGCAGCGGCAAAGCAGAACCGCCUGGAAAGCAAAGAGAAGGACGCUGGGGGUGCCCAUCCCCAGAGCAGGACCCUCGGCGGACGAGGGAAGAGAGGCGGGAGUCUGUGAGUGGUGAAGAGGAAAAACCUGUGUCCAGAAUUGGCUCAGGAGCGUCGGAGCGACUGAGGCGCUCGGCGCCAUAGUCUUCAAUGUCUCUCUGAACAGCAUUUAGGAAGAGUGCGAGAGAAAGAGAGCGCGCGCCAGGGAGAGGAGAAAAGAAGAUGAGGAUUAUUUGCAGACAGAUUGUCUUGUUAUUUUCUGGAUUUUGGGGACUCGCCAUGGGAGCCUUUCCGAGCAGCGUGCAAAUAGGUGGUCUCUUCAUCCGAAACACAGAUCAGGAAUACACUGCUUUUCGAUUAGCAAUUUUUCUUCAUAACACCAGCCCCAAUGCGUCAGAAGCUCCUUUUAAUUUGGUACCUCAUGUGGACAACAUAGAGACAGCCAACAGUUUUGCUGUGACAA